UGUCACAAUGGCUGCAUGGCCACGCUGGCCACACAUGGGCUCCGUGGCUACUGGCCAACCCCAGUCCACAUGAAGUGGGCAGCUGUGUCUUCAGGGGCCUUGCUUCACCACCAGCAUGUGCCAGUGGGUCUGCUGGACACUGACCUGACACGGCAGAAGCAAGAGGAGUGUCCGGGCUCUCUGGCAGUGCGAGAGGCAAUACACAGGCAGAGAAGCCCACUGCAGUGGUGGCAGUGGUGUCAGUGAUGGCGUUUCCAGCUUUGAUUGCAUGUAGUUGUGGAGAGAACAAGGUCUCCCCUGAGCCUCCUUUUACCUAGGCUGAACAGUCCCAGCUGCCUCAGCUGCUCCCCAGUUGACUUGUGCUACAGACACCUCACCAGCUUUGUGGCCCUUUUUUGGACAUGCUCGAGAACCUCCAUGUCCUGUUGUCAGUGAUCCAAAACUGAACACUGGAUUUGAGGUGCAGUCUCACCAGUGCUGAGUACAGGAGGACUCUGGUACUUUCUAGAGCUGCAGUGGAGCAAACACUGGGAGUGUUUAUGAGGCAUUUUGAUUCAGAUCUCUUCUCAGUAAUCCUGAGGCUAACAGAGAAAUUCUGCUUAUUAAUUCUGCUUUGAAGCACAAACAGUUAAGUCCAAAAGGAUCUUGAUCAGGAAGAAUUGGUGUGUGAUGGGAACUGUGGAAUCGGGAACCGCCAAAUAACUCAGCACGGAUUGUUUCCCAGUAAAGAGUAUUGUAUUAACCUUCAGUUUAAUUAAAUUAAUUGUUCAACUAA